UCUGCAUGUAAAAAUAUUUGUGUAAACAUAUUAAUUCCAUCAGUAUUGUAACAAAAUGACUGGAUGAUAAACUCACAAAUGUAGGUAGUGUGCUACCUGAGGGGCAAGUCUUUCCCUAAUACCACAAGGGUCUCUGGCCCAGUAAGUGGAGUUUGAUAGUAGUAAUUCUUGCUACAAGU
ensembl:snoRNA SNORA62 Small nucleolar RNA SNORA62/SNORA6 family